GCCUAAAGGGGCCGUAGCCGGCUUGAUAAGUUACCUGGGAAAUCCGGUGGCCUAACCAUCGGGCGGCCAGGUAAUACUAUCAGGCUCGGGACUAGGAGAGACCAGAGGUACUCAUGAGGUAGGAGUGAAAUCCUGUAAUCUUAUGAGGACCACCAGUGGUGAAGACGUCUGGUUAGAAUAGGUCCGACGGUGAGGGACGAAGGCUGGGGGCGCAAACCGGAUUAGAUACCCGGGUAGUCCCAGCAGUAAACGAUGCCAGCUAUGUGUUGCUGGAACCAUGGGUUCCAGCAGUGCCGAAGGGAAGCCGUGAAGCUGGCCACCUGGGAAGUACGGUCGCAAGGCUGAAACUUAAAGGAAUUGGCGGGGGAGUACCACAACCGGUGGAGCCUGCGGUUUAAUUGGAUACAACGCCGGGAAUCUUACCGGAGGGGACAGCAGUAUGAAGGCCAGGCUAAAGACCUUGCCAGAUCAGCUGAGAGGAGGUGCAUGGCCGUCGCCAGUUCGUACCGUGAGGCAUCCUGUUUAGUCAGGCAACGAUCGAGACCCGCAGUCUUAUUUGCCAGCAUGCCCUUUGGGGUGUAUGGGUACAAUAAGACGACCGCCAGCGCUAAGCUGGAGGAAGGAGCGGGCUACGGUAGGUCAGCAUGCCCCGAAUCCUCCGGGAUACACGCGGGCUACAAAUGGUCAGGACAAAAGGUACCGACCUCGAAAGAGUGAGGUAAUCCACAAACCUGAUCUCAGUCCGGAUCGAAAGGCUGCAACUCGCCGUCGUGAAGAUGGAAUCGGUAGUAAUCGUGACUCAAAAUGUCACGGUGAAUAUGUCCCUGCUCCUUGUACCCACCGCCCGU
rnacentral:rRNA from 1 species